rnacentral:rRNA from 1 species
UACGGGGGGGGCAAGCGUUGUUCGGAAUUACUGGGCGUAAAGGGCGCGUAGGCGGCCAACUAAGUCGGAUGUGAAAUCCCCAGGCUUAACCUGGGAACUGCAUCCGAUACUGGAUGGCUUGAAUCCGGGAGAGGGAUGCAGAAUUCCAGGUGUAGCGGUGAAAUGCGUAGAUAUCGGGAGGAACACCAGUGGCGAAGGCGGCUACCUGGCACAUAACUGACGCUGAUACGCGAAAGCGUGGGGAGCGAACAGG